rnacentral:lncRNA from 1 species
CCCCAUGACAUCUUCUCCACCUAACCUUUUUAAGCUUAACCUCCAUAAAUGGAUGUUGAACCUCCAUUAAUGGAGGUAGAAAUUUUCAGAAAAGUAAACAUACCUCCUCAUUUGCUAAGAAUGAUAGAUCUGCAUUAAAAGCUUCACGAAUUUUAGACAUGAAGAAGGAGGAGGCCAAUGUCCAAUUAAAAAAUUAUUUAACGGAAGAAAACAUAAAUGGAGGUCGAUUUUGAAGAAAAGAGAUGAAAAAGAACAACACGCAUUUGCUCAGAAGUUGGUCUAUUUUGUUGAUUGAACUUGCCGAAAUGUCGCACCACUCCAACUAUUUUAUCACCGACCAAAUCACCUGAAUCUUUUUCAAAAACUUCAACUUGAUUUUGUCUACUCAAUUCUAUCACAUCAACAACUUCAAUUUCAUCAAGAAUUGUUGAUUUUUUGGUCGCGCUUCUUGGACAAUUCAAUCGCUGCAUUAAUUGUUCUCUUUAUCAUGCACAUUUUUGAUCUUCAGUGUAUCAAUACGCUUAAAAUUGCUUACUGUAUCAGAAUUUUGUGGUAUAAAUUUAUUCUAUGAUUUUGAAUCAAUUCAAUCGAUCGAAAAUUAUCACAAGAAAUAUUUUUUUAAAUAAACUCCCAUUUCUCAUAAAAUAUUUCUUCAACAACCGCUUUAAAAUUUUGUAAUUUCUGAGAGAUCUUUAAUGUAAAGAUGUGUAAAGAAAAGGAAAAAAAAUGGUGAAAAAUUAAUAGAUUGAAAGUGUGAGAAAGAAAGAGAAGAGUUAAUUAUAUUUACCCUUUGCAAUGUGAAAAAUGGAUUGAAGUGAAUAAUAUUCUUGAAGAGUUAAUUAUCAUAUUAAUACAAUAUUUUACUCUUUAUUUUUGAAUUAGGAACUCAAUUUUAUUAUUGUUUUUAAGAGUUUGAGAUUGAAAAAAUGGUGAAAGAAAAUGGGAUGAAAAAAUGGAGAAGAAGAUGAUAAAAUUAAAUAAAAUAAAUAACGUCCACUUGAGAUGUCAAAGUAAAAAAUGAUGCCAAGUUGAGAGGCCUGUCG